GAGAAUAUACUUUAAUUAAGAAGACCUAAGUUGCAUUUAGGAAGUGUUAUUUACUAUUUUCA
rnacentral:tRNA from 1 species